rfam:Cetobacterium somerae ATCC BAA-474 genomic scaffold Scaffold43, whole genome shotgun sequence.
GGAAGCAUAGCUCAGUUGGGAGAGCACCUGCCUUACAAGCAGGGGGUCACUGGUUCAAGUCCAGUUGUUUCCA